rnacentral:lncRNA from 1 species
CAGGAACUAGAUAUAUAAAUUUUAAAUGCAUUUUAUGUUUCAGAAAAUUAUAAACUUUUCUAGAUUUUGCUAUCCAUUUUUUUUCGUUCCUUCAGAAGGUGCAAAAAUUAACUAAGUAGUGAAAACGAUUGAGAAGCUCCCCUCAUAUAAUCAAUGUUGUGAGUAGUAUUGAUUUAAAUGGACAAUAGAUGGACAAUAGACACCUGUAAACAAUAGGUGAUUUAACAGGUUUAAACUGUGUAACUGAGUGGACCGUAUCAAAUGAAACUCAGGUGUUUGUUUAUUUUGCUAUCUUCUGCAGACUGGAAAAAAAUGAACAUCAAAAUCCAGGUAAGUUUUUAAUUUUCUGAAACGUAGACUUCAUAUAACUUUUAUAUAUCUAGUUCCUGCCAUGCCUUAAAACUUUCCUGGAUGUACCAGUUUGUCUGUACUCAUAGUAAUUUUGGAGGUGUAAACACGGCCAUAUUUUUCAAUUCCUUAUGAUGAACCUUAAAUA